CUUAUGCUUCUGCUGCACCAUUAAGUGUAUGAAUUUGUAUACGAAAUGGAAGCCCAAACUAGCUGUGUGCCCCGAGAUAAGUGAUCUCAUCUCUCUGCACCUGAGUUUUGUCUUCUGAAGAACAACAACAACAAACAACAAACAAAAAACGGGGUUGGCAUCUCAUGGAUCCGGGACCUUAAUGUGGGAGGAAUUGGGAGAUAACGUCCUGGACACUUGUUGUGCAUCCACGAAGUGUUCAGCGCUGUGCUGAGAAAUGGUGGAACAAAAAGGAAGAAGAUUCAGCCUUUAGAGGAUUUCCGGUGCCUGCAGGGAGAGAGGCAGAGGCAGAGGACGAGGAGAUCAGAGAAAACAGGAAGGCAUUUUGCAGGAUUUGCAAUAGCUCCGUUCAGAAGCAAUGAAUGUCUGAGACAGAGCGUGACAAUGAGGAGGAAAUCAGCAGCAGCCCAGAGUUAUCUGAAGGUCACUGGACAGUAGUAAGAGGUGUGUGAGAAGGAGCAGUCACAUGUGACUUCUAGCUUGACCUGUUAAGAUAAGACGUCCGGGGAGACUGGGGACGUCAUAUGUAUUUGACAAAGCCUCUAUCAGCCUGGUUCUCUGAGUGACUAUGUAGGGAAGAACAUUCCUCCCUAUCAUCACCAACCCUGAUGACGUGAAAUUGUCCCG